rnacentral:rRNA from 1 species
UACAGAGGGGCGAGCGUUGUUCGGAAUUACUGGGCGUAAAGGGCGCGUAGGCGGCCUUCUAAGUCGAACGUGAAAUCCCCGGGCUCAACCCGGGAACUGCGUCCGAUACUGGAAGGCUUGAAUCCGGGAGAGGGAUGCGGAAUUCCAGGUGUAGCGGUGAAAUGCGUAGAUAUCUGGAGGAACACCGGUGGCGAAGGCGGCAUCCUGGACCGGUAUUGACGCUGAGGCGCGAAAGCCAGGGGAGCAAGCGGG